GAAUUUUAAAGUAUAUUUAUCAUAUGCAUUUAAGUAAUCUUCAUAUCAGGAGCAGCAGCAUAGGUUAGGAACCCUGCCCAUUGGGAUGCUGUUCUCUAGUGUUCAACAGCAAGUUGGGGCUCCAAGGCAUCGAAAUAUAUAAUUGAAGGGAUCUGUGAUACUGAUUUGAUCAUAGAUCUGAAGGGAAGUGCGUUUGGCGCAACUCCAGAAAACUAUCACAGGAAAUCAAUAUUCCGAUUCUUUUGCGUUUCUUUCGUUUCCGAAACGGACUUCUUUGAAUCGAGAUAUUCAAAAUUUAUAAAAUAUUACGAUUUUAAGGGGCCAUGUCAGAAAUUCAUUCCCCGAAAAUCGAGAGAUAUCUAUUUUUACGGUCAGUUCAAAAGAUUUGACCCCAAUAAAGUUAUAUUUAACGAUUGUCGGGAUAAUUUGCUACUUGUCGUUCUAGCAUCUGCGUGGAUAAAGACACCGUUUGCAUUUUACGGAACACCAAGUGGAUGCACUAGGUGUUUUCGUUCUAUGUCUGGUGAGCAGGAGGGCUGAUAACUUUGACGUAGACUGGAAUAGCGCGACAUCAGCCAACUUGCUGUGAUAUAAGCCAAAGGACCUCAUAGUAUUGGCAGCUUUUGGCGUUUGUUAGAUCACGUGCUGUGGAUCACGUUAGCUAUCCUGUGUGGAUGACUCUACUGCUGCCACGUUCUCCAGAUUGCUGGUAUUCACAGCUAGACUAACAAAUUAAGGACUACAAUGAUCUCCUAUACCUCCACGACUGACACAGGAAAUUUUUCCAGGAUCAACCUUUAAUUAGGCCAGAUAUACUUAUUUUAUGUUUGAAUAAGCUAAAAUUAUAAUUAUUGAUCAAUUUUUAUAAUUUUAAUACAUAAAA